rnacentral:rRNA from 1 species
UACGGGGGGGGCAAGCGUUGUUCGGAAUUACUGGGCGUAAAGCGUACGCAGGCGGCUUUGCAAGACAGGUGUGAAAUCCCCGGGCCUAACCUGGGAACUGCAUUUGUGACUGCAUAGCUAGAGUUUGUCAGAGGGGGGUGGAAUUCCACGUGUAGCAGUGAAAUGCGUAGAUAUGUGGAGGAACACCGAUGGCGAAGGCAGCCCCCUGGGAUGUGACUGACGCUCAUGUACGAAAGCGUGGGGAGCAAACAGG